GACGGUACCUGAAGAAAAAGCAUCGGCUAACUCCGUGCCAGCAGCCGCGGUAAUACGGAGGAUGCAAGCGUUAUCCGGAAUCAUAGGGCGUAAAGGGUCCGCAGGUGGCGAAUAAAGUCUGCUGUUAAAGACCGGGGCUAAACUCCGGAAAGGCAGUGGAAACUGAUUAGCUAGAGUACGGUAGGGGUAGAGGGAAUUCCCAGUGUAGCGGUGAAAUGCGUAGAUAUUGGGAAGAACACCGGUGGCGAAAGCGCUCUACUAGGCCGAAACUGACACUGAGGGACGAAAGCUAGGGUAGCGAAAGGGAUUAGAUACCCCUGUAGUCUUAGCGGUAAACGAUGGAUACUAGGUGUAGCUUGUAUCGACCCGAGCUGUGCCGAAGCUAACGCGAUAAGUAUCCCGCCUGGGGAGUACGCACGCAAGUGUGAAACUCAAAGGAAUUGACGGGGGCCCGCACAAGCGGUGGAGUAUGUGGUUUAAUUCGAUGCAACGCGAAGAACCUUACCAGGGCUUGACAUGUCGCGAAUCUAGCGGAGACGUUAGAGUGCCUUAGGGAAUGCGAACACAGGUGGUGCAUGGCUGUCGUCAGCUCGUGUCGUGAGAUGUUGGGUUAAGUCCCGCAACGAGCGCAACCCUCGUCCUUAGUUGCCAAUAUUAAGUUAGGCACUCUAGGGAGACUGCCGGGGACAACUCGGAGGAAGGUGGGGAUGACGUCAAGUCAGCAUGCCCCUUACGUCCUGGGCGACACACGUACUACAAUGGUUGGGACAAAGGGCAGCAAGCUCGCGAGAGUAAGCGAAUCUCAUCAAACCCAGCCACAGUUCAGAUUGCAGGCUGCAACUCGCCUGCAUGAAGUAGGAAUCGCUAGUAAUCGCAGGUCAGCAUACUGCGGUGAAUUCGUUCCCGGGCCUUGUACACACCGCCCGUCACACCAUGGAAGCUGGCUACGCCCGAAGUCGUUACCCUAACCCGGUUUUGGGAGGGGGAUGCCGAAGGUAGAGCUAGUGACUGGGGUGAAGUCGUAACAAGGUAGCCGUACCGGAAGGUGUGGCUGGAUCACCUCCUUU
rnacentral:rRNA from 1 species